CAGCUGACGAGUCCCAAACAGAACGAAACGCGCGUCCUGGAU
rnacentral:hammerhead_ribozyme from 1 species